rnacentral:rRNA from 1 species
GACGAACGCUGGCGGCGUGCUUAACACAUGCAAGUCGAACGGAAAGGCCCUGCUUUUUUGGGGUGCUCGAGUGGCGAAGGGGGGAGUAACACGUGAGUAACCUGCCCUUGACUUUGGGAUAACUUCAGGAAACUGGGGCUAAUACCGGAUAGGAGCUCCCGCUGCAUGGUGGGCGUUGGAAAGUUUCGGCGGUUGGGGAUGGACUCGCCGCUUAUCAGCUUGUUGGUGGGGUAGUGGCUUACCAAGGCUUUGAGGGGUAGCCGGCCUGAGAGGGUGACCGGCCAAAUUGGGACUGAGAUACGGCCCAGACUCCUACGGGAGGCAGCAGUGGGGAAUAUUGCACAAUGGGCGGAAGCCUGAUGCAGCAACGCCGCGUGCGGGAUGACGGCCUUCGGGUUGUAAACCGCUUUCGCCUGUGACGAAGCGUGAGUGACGGUAAUGGGUAAAGAAGCACCGGCUAACUACGUG